CCAGGGGGGGCUUUUGGGGGGGGGGUUGUGGCUAACCAGCAGUUUCUUUGCUUUGGCAUGUGUCGCUGUGCUCUGAUCGUUAGUUUGUGAUUUACCCAACAAGAGUGAAAAGAGAAGCUCAGUUGUUGAGUCAUACUGACUUGAUUGAAAUGUGUGAACUGUUUGCACUGUAGCUGGGGGGGAGUCGUGAUCCGGGGGUUUGUACUUGCUGUAACUGUGUGUUGCUGUAUAUCUUCAAGGCUGGAUUGGUUCUCUCUAUUUGGCAUGGUCAGUAAAAAAAAAACAAAAAACAGCUUGACUG